UUCCGGUUGAUCCUGCCGGACCUGACUGCUAUCGGAUUGAUACUAAGCCAUGCGAGUCUUUGCAGUAAUGCAAGGCAUACGGCUCAGUAACACGUAGUCAACUUACCCUAUGAACGAGGAUAAUCUCGGGAAACUGAGCAUAAUACUCGAUAGAUCAUAAUGCCUGGAAUGGUUUAUGGUUGAAAUGAUUCGUCGCCAUAGGAUGGGACUGCGGCCUAUCAGCUUGUUGGUGAGGUAAUGGCCCACCAAGGCGAUUACAGGUACGGGCUCUGAGAGGAGAAGCCCGGAGAUGGGUACUGAGACAAGGACCCAGGCCCUAUGGGGCGCAGCAGGCGAGAAAACUUUGCAAUGUGCGAAAGCACGACAAGGUUAAUCCGAGUGAUUUCUGCUAAAGAAAUCUUUUGCAAGUCAUAAAACCACUAGUGAAUAAGGGGUGGGCAAGUUCUGGUGUCAGCCGCCGCGGUAAAACCAGCACCUCAAGUGGUCAGGAGGAUUAUUGGGCCUAAAGCAUCCGUAGCCGGCUCUGUAAGUUUUCGGUUAAAUCCAUGUGCUCAACGCAUGGGCUGCCGAAAAUACUGCAUAGCUAGGGAGUGGGAGAGGUAGACGGUACUCGGUAGGAAGGGGUAAAAUCCUUUGAUCUAUCGAUGACCAUCUGUGGCGAAGGCGGUCUACCAGAACACGUUCGACGGUGAGGGAUGAAAGCUGGGGGAGCAAACCGGAUUAGAUACCCGGGUAGUCCCAGCUGUAAACGAUGCAGACUCGAUGAUGCAUUGGCAUAUAGCCAGUGCAGUGUCGCAGGGAAGCCGUUAAGUCUGCCGCCUGGGAAGUACGUACGCAAGUAUGAAACUUAAAGGAAUUGGCGGGGGAGCACCACAAGGGGUGAAGCCUGCGGUUCAAUUGGAAUCAACGCCGGA
rnacentral:rRNA from 1 species